rnacentral:rRNA from 1 species
GAUGAACGCUGGCGGCGUGCCUAAUACAUGCAAGUCGAGCGAACGGAUAAGGAGCUUGCUCCUUUGAAGUUAGCGGCGGACGGGUGAGUAACACGUGGGUAACCUACCUAUAAGACUGGAAUAACUUCGGGAAACCGGAGCUAAUGCCGGAUAACAUUUGGAACUGCAUGGUUCUAAAGUAAAAGAUGGUUUUGCUAUCACUUAUAGAUGGACCCGCGCCGUAUUAGCUAGUUGGUAAGGUAACGGCUUACCAAGGCAACGAUACGUAGCCGAACUGAGAGGGUGAUCGGCCACACUGGAACUGAGACACGGUCCAGACUCCUACGGGAGGCAGCAGUAGGGAAUCUUCCGCAAUGGAUGAAAGUCUGACGGAGCAACGCCGCGUGAGUGAUGAAGGUUUUCGGAUCGUAAAACUCUGUUAUUAGGGAAGAACAAAUGUGUAAGUAACUGUGCACAUCUUGACGGUACCUAAUCAGAAAGCCACGGCUAACUACGUGCCAGCAGCCGCCGCAG